rnacentral:rRNA from 1 species
GAAGCCCAGCGCUGAAUCUCUCGGUCUUAGGCCGCUGAGAACUGUAGCGUAUAGGUGUGACUGUCCUGCUAUAUUGCAUUUCCGAAGUCUCUUUGAUAGGGGCCAACAUCCAGAGAGGGUGCGAGACCUGUACGGAAAGUAGUAUAGUUGGUAUGGUUACUCCUUGGAGUCGGGUUGCUUGAAAGUGCAGCCUAAAGUUGGUGAUAAACUUCAUCUAAGGCUAAAUAUCGACGCGAAAUCGAUAGCAAACAAGUACCGUGAGGGAAAGUUGCAAAGAACUUUGAAGAGAGAGUUCAAGAGAACGUGAAAUCGCUGAAGUGGAACCGGAGAGAGUUAACAUAACUUGGUAGCUAUAUCCUCUAAAGUCGCUUAACUGUGGCUCUGGGGGGUGGACGCUACCUGUUGUUGCACUGACUGCGUUGAUUGUGCUUUCCGAACAGUAUAGUGUUGCCCACUUUGUGGUGUCUUGCUUUCUGGGAGGUUUGUCAUAAUUAACGUAAAGCCAAUUCCCUUUGGAGUCAGUGUGAAAGUUAACCACCUUUCCGACCCGUCUUGAAACACGGACCGAGGAGUGUAAUUUAUACGCGAGUCAAGGGGUGGUGAAAACCCUAGGGGCGGAAUGAAAGUAAAGGCCGGUUAACCGGUUGACAUGGGAUCCGCUCUUCGGAGCGGCGCACCAUGGCCCUGUCUUGUCUGCUUGCAGAUGGGCAGCGGUAGAGCGUAUAGUUUGCGACCCGAAAGAUGGUGAACUAUGCUUGAGCAGGACGAAGCCAGAGGAAACUCUGGUGGAAGUCCGUAUCGGUUCUGACGUGCAAAUCGAUCGAUAGAC